GCCAGCGAGAACUAGAAACUUCUACCAGCCUUCUAUGGACUUGGUGGGGGCCAGAAAGAUUUCAAGAAAACUUAUUCACUUGACUUGGGAAAAUCAGCAACACCCAUAUUCCUCGGAGCUCCUCGACCCGGCGGGACUGCGACGCGGCCUCCGAGGACGGGAGCAAGAGGUUCGCCGAUGCCUCCGUCGCGUCCGCGACCAUAGGGGCCGAGUCGUUCAGGAAGGAGGAGAAGCUCGUCAAGAUCAAGGAAAGUUAAGUGCCGCCCGUGGCUUUUCUUUACCUGAACCUACUGUGAACUCUUUGUCAGUGCUCGGUAAUGCACUCGAUCGAUGCUUUCUUGUUUUUUGCCCCGUCGUCGUCUUGACGCAGUGGCAUCGAGGGCUGGUAUUGAGGGCUGUGCUUUGAACCCUUCGUGCAGGCUGUCGUCCGGAGCCUGUGUCGUGAUCCACUACACCGUCCCUUGCAACGACAGCGACGAAGGCUCUGAACGCUCGGAGGAGUGACACUGCUG
rnacentral:misc_RNA from 1 species